UAUGUGAUCGUCUCUCGCAUAUCAAUAAGCGGAGGAAAAGAAACUAACAAGGAUUCCCCUAGUAACGGCGAGUGAAGCGGGAAGAGCUCAAAUUUGAAAUCUUAAAGGGUUUCCCUUUACGAAUUGUAGUUUAAAGAAGUGUUUUCUGUUGAGGUUUUGGUAAAAGUUCUUUGGAAUAGGACAUCAUAGAGGGUGAGAAUCCCGUAUUUGACCUUUACUUUCAACUUUGUGAUACACUUUCAAAGAGUCGGAUUGUUUGGGAAUGCAGUCCCAAAAUGGGUGGUAAAUUUCAUCUAAAGCUAAAUAUUGGCGAGAGACCGAUAGCGAACAAGUACCGUGAGGGAAAGAUGAAAAGAACUUUGAAAAGAGAGUUAAACAGUACGUGAAAUUGUCAAAAGGGAAGCGUUUGACACCAGUGUUGUUUUUCUGAAAAUCAAUUAAAGAACUGUUUAUGCUAAGCUGUUUAGACUUUAUCAGCUAUCUGUUUAGUUUUGAGCUUUUCUUUAAUGCACUUUUCAGUUAACAAGUCAACAUCAAUUUCUUUUGCUGUAAAAAAGCUUGAGGAAGGUGGCUUGAGAUUCGUCUUAAGUGUUUAUAGCCUCUUGCCUAUGCAGUCGGAGAGAUUGAGGUCUGCAGCGUAGAUCCUUCGGGGCUAAAUGCAUUUGUGCUAAGUUAUAGCAUUUUAUAGACAACUUGUUGACUAUGAUUUGUCUUGUAGCUUACUCGCUUAUGUUAUUUUACCUACGCUUAGGAUGUUGAGCGCAUGUCUCUCUCU
rnacentral:rRNA from 1 species